AAGUUUAAUUUCAGAGGAAAUUUGUCCGUCCCCCUCGCUCCCCGCCAGUUCCAUGAAAUAAGACUUGAGAACUUGGCCUCCCUGUCUGACUUGCACACCUUUUGUUUGGGACCAUGCGCUGGAAGGAGUGGAGAGAUGGCUGCCAACCAGCCUGCUCCCUGCUGGUGGGACAGUCGAGCUAUACUUGAAAGAUUCAGACUUUUUAGGAAAAACUGUUGGCUACUGAAUGAAGUACAGAAAAAGUCACGAAGGAAGGCAAGAAAUUUCACCGAGCGGGCCGUACAGCUGCCAUCUUUAUGAUAUCCACGUGCCUGUUCCGCCAAAGUACACGCACGUUUAUCCUAAGAACUCUGCUUAGCAAGUUCGGAGCCAUUUGUAGGGUGCCGCUGCUUGGUGCGCUGGCCCGCUUGAUGGAGUGCUAAUGAAUAAUGAGAGUUGAUUAAACUUACUUGAAAUGUAAGGAACAUGGUUGGGUUCCUGUAAAAGUUAUGAUGCAGUUUCGUAUUUCAAGCUCUCUUGCUUAUUUGUGUCUUUAAACUUUACAGUAUGCCAGAAGUAUGGAAUUUAUUAAGUAUUAAUGAUCUUGCUACCAAAACAAGGAUUCCAUGAGCGAUUUCUCAUCUCAGAAGUUUAAAUGCGGUGUUCUACUGCCGUUGUUCUCCUGCUGGUCCGCUGUGUGCACUUUCUUUCCCAAGGUGCUUUCCAGGGUGACCCAUGAGUUUCUCACACUUUCCGUUGGAAUUAAGGAAAGCACGUGUGAUUAGAUGGAAGUCUGGAGUGUCCAAAGGUAUCCAUUUCUUCUGUGGAAAAAACCUCACUUGAAGACUAUGUGCCAUCAUUUCUACUUGAAGACUAUGUGCAAUUUAGGUAUUUUAUUUGACAGAGUUACACAGAGAGAGAGGAGAGGCAGAGAGAGAGAGAGAUGUCUUCCAUCUGCUAGUUCACUUCCCAUUUGGCCGCAAACGGAGCUGCACCUAUCCGAAGCCAGGAGCCAAGAGCUUCCUCUGGGUCUCCCAUGUGGGUGCAGGGGCCCAAGGACUUGGACCAUCUUCUACUACUUUCCCAGGCCAUAGCAGAGAGCUGGAUCAGAAGUGGAACAGAAGAGUCUCAAACCAGUGCCCAUAUGGGAUGCCAGCACUACAGGAGGCAGCUUUACCUGCUAUACCACAGCACCGGCCCCUCAAGAAUAACUUGAUGUGUACCUCUGACCACACACCUUGCUGCUGACUCAGGAUUGAUGAACGUGGAGAUGACAUGCUGGCUCGAGUCAGCCUUCAGCUGUGUUCAAUGAAGAAUGGAUGUUCUUUUGUGAAUGGAUUGCCCUUCCCACUCUACCCAUGGAUCCCUCACCUUUACAUCAUAUAAGACUGCUAUCAACAUUGUAAAAGAUCACAUUCUGGAAAUACAGUGAUUCCAACCUAGGAGUUUAAGAAAAAGCAUGCUUAGAAGAUAUGGUGUUUGAUUGGAUUAAGAUGGCAGAGCAGGGAGGGAGUUUACUGCUCGAGUCUAGGAGAAGAUAGUUUUAAAAAAGUAGAAAGAGUGCAGUCUCAGGGAAGAGUAAGGGAGAAAAUGGCAGAGGAAACUCUAUGCAAAUUAGAGGGAGACAGUAGACCUAGGUGGAGGGCGUGGACACAACUCAGGACCCCAGCAGCCAAGAACCUCCACAUCAGUACUGGAGAGUGAGGUGAGACUAGACUGCAGCAGCCCAAGCCACUGGUGAAAAAGCUGGAGGAAGAGCCUAGAGGGAAUCCAGCUUGGAGCCCCAUGGGAGAUAGUGUACCUGCCAAACUGGAGGAGAAAAAACAAAGGGGGUGACAUGUUUUCUUUCUCCCUGAUCAUUCUGCAAAGGUGUCCUGUAACAAGCUGACAGAGAGCAGGCACCAUUUUAGACAUAUGAAGCAGCUGCACCAGCUUGUGUCUAUGCCCAGCAACCAGCCAAGCAAAGACUCCUGAAUCUGGUGGAGAGAAUAGACAGGGAGCUGGGUGCUCAUGACUGUGGGAGGAUUAUGUGCUGGGACUGUGAAAACACUCUUGUGCUAUGAGAAUUAAUGAUAAAACUAGUCUUCAAACAGUAUUUUCUACUUUGUGUGUCUCUGUGGGUGCAAACUGUUGAAAUCUUUAUAUGAAGUUGAUCUUCUGUAUAUAAAGAUAAU